rnacentral:rRNA from 1 species
UACGGAGGGUGCGAGCGUUGUCCGGAAUCAUUGGGCGUAAAGGGCGCGUAGGUGGCCCGGUCAGUUCGUGGUGAAAGCGCGGGGCUCAACCCUGCGUCGGCCAUGAAUACUGCCGCGGCUGGAGCACUGUAGAGGCAGGCGGAAUUCCGGGUGUAGCGGUGGAAUGCGUAGAGAUUGGGAAGAACACCAGUGGCGAAGGCGGCUAUCUGGACGGUUUCUGACACUAAGACUCGAAAGCGUGGGGAGCAAACAGG